CUUAAUCUCACAAAUCAAGAAUCUAUUUGUUAAUUUGCUUUACAUCUUCAAAUUCAAAUGUCCCCAUAUUUCAACCAUACCAAACAUGUUCUUUUAGUCAAAUAUUUUUAACUGUACAUUUAUAUCUUGUUAGUAAAUAAAUAUUUGUUCUCAACUGCUGUUUCUUUAUUUACUUUUUAUUCAAACACCAACAUACAUGUACUAAAAUAAUCACUACAAAAUGCAUGAAAGAUAACAUACAAAGUAAAAAAUGCUUCAAAUCAGAACACACAUGCCCUCUAUUAUUCAACUUACACAGAAACAAAGUAUAAAUCUUGCUAAAAUAUUGAUAAAUUAAAUCAUCAUUCAUUCCAUGUUCAUAAACUCACUUGUACAACUUGGUUUUCUGUUAUCUGAGGAAGGGAAACAACCCUUAUAUUUGAUUAUAUCUGACCGAUAGAACUAAUUUUAUUCUCAAUUGUUUAUGUUUACUGUUUUACCUCUUUCUGUCCUUCAGUCCGUCUGUCCCAUGAAUAUUUUUCGUAGCAUUUUUCUCGCGAACUACACUACGAUUCCAAACUCCUGUAUUAUUUUACACAUGAUAACCAAAUUGAAAAUUUUGUCACAUUUUUCUGAAGAACUACAAUACAAGGAUUUCUGGAAUUUGAUUUCGAAGUUUAUAUAAGUAUUCAUAGCUGACUAUAUGCUGUAUGGGCUUUGCUCAUUGUUGAAGACCGUACGGUGACCUAUAAUUGUUAAUGUUUGUGUCAUUUUGGUCUUUUGUGGAUACUUGUCUCAUUGGCAAUCAUACCACAUCUUCUUUUUUAAAAUACUGUUAUGCGUUUUCACAUUCAUCACUCAACAACUUCCUGUUUACCGAACUCUUACAUAGUUUACACUUAAAAUUAUCCACUUGCAGUGGGGGCAUCAUCAAUGAGCAGCAGCUCACAGUUUCACUUGUUCAUCUUUUAAAUAUUCUUUUCUGUGAUUGCUUCGGAAAAUCAAGAAAUAUAUAUAAACAUUUUUCCACUGACAAAUUAUUUGCUUUGAUUUAUAAUUCACAAUUAUACAAUACUACAUGUA
rnacentral:lncRNA from 1 species